rnacentral:rRNA from 1 species
GCUUUUUGAUUGUUAAAAGUCUCUUCUGCUCGGUGAUUUUUAACAGCCGCGGUACUUUGACCGUGCAAAGGUAGCAUAAUCAUUUGCCUCGUAAUUGGGGGCUGGAAUGAAAGAAUAAACGAAGGUUUUUCUUUAUUAGAAAAAAGUGAAGAAUUUUCUUUUUUAGUGAAGAAGCUAAGAUUUGAAAGGGGACAAGAAGACCCUUUUGAGCUUUACUUUUCGUCUUUAUAUGACUGAUAAGUUUGGUUGGGGCGACCAAGGAAGAUCUUCCUUUAUUAUUUUGAUCCGCUUGUAGCGAUUAAAAGAACAAGUUACCAAAGGGAUAACAGCGUAAUCUUCUCUGAGAGUUCUUAUUAAAUAGAAGGAUUGCGACCUCGAUGU